rnacentral:lncRNA from 1 species
CGUUGGAGUAGUCAGGAAUGUAUGUUUGCCGUCGAAAAUAAAUAUUGCCAAAAAGUGAUUUGACAUAAUAUUUAAAUGCAAAUAACUCUACGAAUAAUUAUGCUAAGGAGCUAAAACUAGUCUCAUUAAAUCCAGUGUGAUAAAACAAUUCUAAAUGUGGGCUUUUCAAACCAAAUACUUGGAACCGGAUUUAUUUUGGAUGGAAGGAAGAUGCUUUUAUUCUUUUUCAAGGCUGGGCAGAAAAUCGGCCAGGAGGCCUACUAUUAGGUGCUUAGGUACACCAUAUUGCCAUGGCUGAAUACCAACUACACGGAGGGUAAAUAUGUGUGGGCUCAGGACGGGGCCUCCUAUCACACGUCUACCAAGUGCCAAAAGUUAUUCACAGUGAACAUGGUUCGAUUCUAAUCCAAAGAAAUAUGGCACACUUCCUCACCAGAUUUGAACCCACUAGAUAUUUAUAUAUGAGGCCCUUAAGAGAGGGAAUGCAACAGGACCUCACACUCAAAUGCCGACUCACUGAAGUCCUCCAUAGUGGUUACAUUGGACAACCUGUCAGAGAAGUUUGUCAUCAACUCCUGCAUGGUCUUCAGGCGACCUGUAAAGGCUGUGAUUGAUAAUGAAAGUGGCCACAUUGAGUGAAAAAAGUUUUGCAAAAACAUUGUCUGCAUGUUUUAUUAACAACAUUUUUUUGCCUAUUAUUGAUGUAUUUAUAAAUCCAUCGCUCAAGUUCCACGUUUUGCUGCCCUGCUGAGUAUAUACAUAUAUGAUGUUAAUUAAAUUUACACCUUUUUUUAUUACAUAGUUCGGUGUAUGAACAAUGGGAGACUUCAACUAUAUGAUAUGAUUAGAAAAAGUGUCGAAAACAAUGCUUUAAAUGUGUGCUAUCAUUAUUAGACAAAUAUAAAAUUUUUGUAAUUGAUAGAUUUUGUACUAUGAAAUGUAUUGAUUUGAGCCAUUAAAAAAAUGAAAAAUUCUCAAAAACGGUUAGUUAAAUUAAGUUGAAAUUCCCAAAAUCGACCAUUAUAGAUAUCAAUAAAUAAUUAGUCUUGUAAACGAUUUCGACAAAAAAUCAUGUUUUUACAAGCGUGUAUAUUCAUAUAUAUACAAUAUAAGAUGAGCCCCAGAAUUAUCUUUCAAAUCAAAAUAAGGAAGAGCAUGUGUUCACCUAAUUAGACACGUCUCUUCUUAAAAGUAUAUUAUAUACCAUACACAUAUGUGUCUAUAGUAUACGUGUUCGAUAAUGAAUCAUGAACAAAGCUGUUUUUGUUAUGACAUAUACAAUUGAUGGAAGGCGUUGUAAAAGGAUGUUUGCAUACAUAUAGUAACUUAUACCUUAUAUUAAAUACAUAUAUUAAUAGCGAGUAUUUAACACAAAUAAACUCACAUUUGUUGUAUUAGAAAAUACAUGUCGUUAAAUUUAGUACAAUGUGUACAGUAUAUAAUUAGUUGUAUUUUUUGUGUUUAUAAAUCAGUGACACAUUAAUUGAGGAAUUAAUGCAAAGUUAGAAGAGAGGAAGGGCAAUGGACCUUUGGACCCUACGGUUCCGGCACCACUACUACACAACUACGCCUCAAAAGUCAUUGAAAGGAUAAUUAAUCAAUUGAUUGAUUAAUUAAAAAGUGAAAGAAUGUGGCUCGCUCUUAUACUCGCGACAAUUUUCUUCAUACUGUAUCUUAUUAAGGAGCAUUCCGAAUCAGAAAGG